rnacentral:lncRNA from 1 species
AACAAACUAUCCGCUUAGUCCACUUUUUCGAAAUAAACUCAACUAAAAUGCGAAACAAGUAAAUUUUAAAUUUUAAAUUUUAUAUAUGAAUCAUCGGGAGAAAAUUUACUGUAUCACACUUAUAUCAUAUCAUUAAUAACAAGUCAAUCACAUCUCUCUAUUUGAGAAAAAAGAACGACAAAAAUAUUUUUCUAUUAAUCAUAAUGGAACGUAUCAAUCUAUAAAGGAUAAUUUCAUUAUUCGAAUACGUCACUUCAGCAAUAUAUCCGGUACAUUCUAGAUUUUUUCAAACAUGAGACCCUAAUAAAAGAGUCAUUAGGCUGCUUCUAGUAGGUUUACACAUGCAUCAGGUCUCUAGAAGCCAUGGAGAACAACAAAUUUCAAUUUCAAUUUCAAUUUCAAUUGAGGGUUCAACAAUGGUAGGUGGUAGAAGGGCUUCAUUAUUACAAAAGGGAAAACUUCAAAAAACCCCCCGUGGUUUCAUUGUUUCUUACUUUAAUACUCUGUGGUUUAAAGUGUACCAAUUUGUCCCCCUGUGGUUUUGUUUUUAUCUUUUCGGUAGCUUUUUCGUUAAUAUUUCAUUAAAUUAUAUACAAAAAACUUCAGAUACCCAUCUAGAUUUAUCAAAUAUUUACUUUAGUACUUUUUAAUUUUAACUUUAUCACUGAUUUAAGAAAAAAAAUAAUAAAAUUGAUAAGAAAAAGAGAAAAAAGAAACACAGGGGGGCAAAUUGAUAUAUUUUAAACCACAGGG